rnacentral:sRNA from 1 species
UACCAGCCUUAGUGGACGCAGGUAAAA